CUUUGUUAUUUUUAUGCAAUCCUUUAGAUAGGUAUAUAUAGAGCCAUUUUUACAAUUGAAGUGUCAGGUAGUUUGAGGAUGUAUUUAAUGUAGUUGAUUAUAUUCUUUUUUAUUGAAAUUAGGAGUGGGAAUUUCCCAAGUUCUCCUCUACAAGCUAUAUUACUUGCUCUUCUGCUAACUCCUAAAUAGUUUGCAGAAUUUUAGGUGGAUUUUUUCCGUUCCUG